GACGAACGCUGGCGGCGUGCUUAACACAUGCAAGUCGAACGGAAAGGCCCUGCUUUUGUUGGGUGCUCGUUUGGCGAACGUGUGUGUAACACGUGUGUAACCUGCCCUUUUCUUUGGGAUAUCUUCAGGUAACUUGGUCUAAUACCCGAUAGGAUCUCCUGCUGCAUGGUGGUGGUUGGAUAGUUUCGGCGGUUGGGGAUGGACUCGCGUCUUAUCAGCUUGUUGGUGGGGUAGUGGCUUACCAAGGGUUUGACGGGUAGCCGACCUGUGAGGGUGACCGGCGACAAUGGGACGGAGAUACGGAGCAGAAUAGAACGGGAGGCAGCAGUGGGGAAUAGUGCAGAAUGGGAGGAAGCGUGAUGCAGCAAAGCAGCGAGCGGGAAGACGGCAUACGGGUAGAAAACAGAAUUCGACUGUGACGAAGAGAGAGUGACGGUAAUGGGUAAAGAAGCACCGGCUAACUACGUG
rnacentral:rRNA from 1 species